CUAUCUGAGUCUAAGGCGAAGUCGCUGGUAGCAGUACUUUGAAGCUAAAGUUUUAAGCCAAAACGACCAUAAAUACAGACUUGAUAAUCAUAUUCACUGAUGACGUCAAAAGGGUUUCCAUGACACAACAGCCACAAGUUAAAUACCGU
rnacentral:sRNA from 17 species